CCUAUGUGUUGCUCAUGGCAGGAUCAGGCUAGCAGAGGUGAUCUAGUGUUAAUGAACUGAAAGAUCUUAUUUAUUCUUAGAACCUGCCUCUGCUAAAAACUCCUCCGAAUCCUCCUUGCUUUCACUGGCUACUGGAAUUUCUUCAGUCUCGCUCAUCCUUUUUAUUAGUAAUGCCAUAGAGCUGUUUGGGAAAUGCUCCCGGAUUCAUGUGAUUGUGUCGGAAUCUCAGCUUUGGUUUGAAGAGGAAUUAAAAAAAAAAAAAGUAUCUAGCCUCCAUGGUCGUGGAGAAAAGCUUGAAAACAUGGCUCCUAAAGAUUCAAAAACCCAAAGACCCACAAACCAAGGGAACUGACUAGACAAGUGCUGUCCUGUCUUCUCAAGAGAGCUGCUGAAGAUGCAAGAAUUGCUGCGAGGGGAGAUACUUAAAGACAAAUGGGAAAGGUGGUUUAUUUCUAUGUCUGGUUAUUCAGUAUGGUGUAGGGCUUGGUACCUUUCUGUGCUGUGCUGUAUUUUUAAGUAUGUGUCAGAGUAGAGCAUAGCAGAAUAGAUUGUAGUGUGUU